rnacentral:rRNA from 1 species
UACGGAGGGUGCAAGCGUUAUCCGGAUUCACUGGGUUUAAAGGGUGCGUAGGCGGUCAGGUAAGUCCGUGGUGAAAUCUCUGAGCUUAACUCAGAAACUGCCAUGGAUACUAUUUGUCUUGAAUAUUGUGGAGGUAAGCGGAAUAUGUCAUGUAGCGGUGAAAUGCUUAGAUAUGACAUAGAACACCAAUUGCGAAGGCAGCUUGCUACACAGUUAUUGACGCUGAGGCACGAAAGCGUGGGGAUCAAACAGG